GUCCACACCGUAAACGUUGGGCGCUAGGUGUGGGGCCUAUUCCAUGGGUUCCGUGCCGCAGCUAACGCAUUAAGCGCCCCGCCUGGGGGAGUACGGCCGCAAGGCUAAAACUCAAAGGAAUUGACGGGGGCCCGCACAAGCGGCGGAGCAUGCGGAUUAAUUCGAUGCAACGCGAAGAACCUUACCUGGGUUUGACAUACACCGGAAAGCCUCAGAGAUGAGGCCCCUUUUGUCGGUGUACAGGUGGUGCAUGGCUGUCGU
rnacentral:rRNA from 1 species